AAUAAUGUUGUUCACGACACACGCGUUGUUAUCGUGGCCAUAUCAGAGAGCAUUGUCCUACAAAAUGCUAAAGCUGAAUUAAACAUCUUUAUACAGGACAAAUUAUACCGUGUUUAUCCUUUGAAUCCACACAGAAGACGGUUAUUUGUUUAUUUUUUAAGGUUGAACGAAAAAAAAGGUCGUGCGACGAUUGUAUACUAAGAUAGCUAGGUUACGAAACAAAAUAUAUGCAUGAAGUUACUUAACAUGGACAACAUGUCUAGUCUUAACAGUCGCAAUAUUUUCGAGAAAGAAACAUCGAUUAUAGCUUUUAUCAUUGAGACGGCAGUAGCAGAAAUUAGCCAACUGUUUUUAGACAACGAAUCAAUCGUGGCGCCAAUACCAAGUAACGUUAACCAGGGGGAAAAAGAAACAGCACCAUUAUGCAUCUGUUGACUAAGGAGGCUGUUCGUACAAUCUGCAGACUAUUCCUAGAGGUCUCUGUGGCUUUACAAAAUGAAAAUGAGAAACUGAAGAUCAAGGUGGAGCAGAUGGAUAAAGAUCUAAAGGCGAUGGGUGAGGGGCGAGAAGAACCGAAAAGACCAACCCAUAUUCUGCACAAUGGAAAGAUCUUUAAAAUUAAGCCAGUUGGGAAAUGUUGUCAAGUUUUAUCUGAUUGUUAUUGAAGAUCUCCCAAUGAUGUCUGUUAACAAUGUGAAGACAAACACCGUGGUCUCAGCAUUGCUCAGCAUUGGAGAUGUCAGUCAAGUAAACACUGUCAUCGUACGGGAAGAGACUACUGCGAGAAAUACAGGCUCUAGCACCGACCCUGUGAAGGAGAGGAGUGAGGUGAAAUCAGGAACUAAAACGUCAGUCAUUGAAGGUGCUGCAGAGGCUUACAGUAAACCGACAGAGACUUCUUCUCUUCCCUCUGUGGGAGACUCACGUGGACUGAAUACAAAGCCCUCAUUUAGAGACACUGAAUCCAAGGGUGAACCUAUGAGAGCUGUUGUUCCAGAGGAGACAGACAGCGGGAGAGGCAGUCAUGAAAAGGAAACAAGCAGCCGUACUGGGACAGGAUCUACAGAAUACAGCAGAGCAUUUCCACAGAAUACAGCCAUGGAAUACAGCGGAGCAUUUCCACAGAAUACAGCUACGGAAUACAGCGGAGCAUUUCCACAGAAUACAGCCACGGAAUACAGCAGAGCAUUUCCAAGCUGAGGAAACCCUUCAAGUGUGACAUAUGUGAGAAGACCUUCCACGCAAACUGUCUGUUGAAACGCCAUAUAGCAGUUCACAAUAAACCGAAGGGGCCCUUUAAGUGUGACAUUUGUGCGAAAACCUUCCGCCUGAACUGUAUCCUGACUCAUGAUAUGCAAACUCACUCAAAAGAGAAACCUUUCAGUUGCAAAGUUUGCGGAAAGAAAUUCAGUAGUAAGACAAAUCUGAAAUCACAUGAGUUUGUUCAUGCAGAGGUGAAACCGUUCACCUGCCUCACUUGUGGAUGAGGUUUCGCCUCAAAGUACAUGCUUGACGUACACCAGCGAGUUCACACAGGUGAAAACCAUACAGCUGUACUACGUGUGGAAAGAGUAUAUCUCAAAACCUGAAAACGCAUAUUAGAUCUGUACAUACAGAACGUACAGAACGCCCACACCCAUGCUCCCAGUGUGACAAGACCUUUUGGCGUCCUGUCGAAUUGCAGGAGCACCAGGUAGUUCACACAGGGGAGAAGCCAUUUAGAUGUGAAAUAUGUGAAGCUACUUUCAGCUUUAAGGAGAACCUUACGAGACACCAUCGAAUUCACACGAAGAAGAGGCCGUACACAUGUUAGGCGUGUGGAAAGACAUACAUUCAGUCCACCAACUUAAAAGCUCACAUGCUAGUUCAUGGGGCAUUAAAACCAUUUAUGUGUGACGUUUGUGGAAAGACUUACCUUUACAAUUAUCAACUGAGAAUUCACAAGCUAUCACACGUGGCUGAUGGAGAGGGGCACUCAAGAACCAGAAAGAACAAGGCCAACCAACAAAAACAAACUGACCAACCAAAACCCUUCAGCUGUGAGAUAUGUUUGAAGGGCUUCAGCUCCAUCGGUUCUCUGAAAACACAUGGAAGAAUUCACACAGGAGAAAACAUAUACACUUGUUCCACAUGCGGAAAGACUUUUCUCCAUAAAGUUACUUUUGACUAUCACCCGAAAUUACACACUGGAGAGAAGCCCAAUACUUGUGGUUGUUGUGGAAAGAGAUGUAUUACUAAACAAUCUCUUAAGAUACAUGAGCUGAUCCAUACAGGUGAGAAACCACAUAAGUGCAGUGAUUGUGGGAAGACUUUUGGAUUUAUCGGUAAUCUCAAAAGACAUGAGCGAGUCCACACGGGAGAGAAGCCUUUCAGCUGUGAUGUCUGUGGGACACGAAUCAGACAAGCCAAUCAUGUCAAAACCCACAUGCAAGUGCACACAGGAAUCAGGCCAUACUCCUGCAAGAGAUGUGGAAGAGGCUUUUCUGAUUCAAGACACUUCAAAAAGCACAACUGCGUCAGUAGCUAACGCAAAUCUUCUGAUCGCACUUUCAGAAGUAAGAAAUGAGGAUUACAUGCCAUGAUGUUGCAAUCUCAAUAACUUGGAUAUCUAAUAACUUGAGUCAGGUGUGUAUGAGUCUGAAUGCUGAAAGACACCGGGGUUUUUUUUGUGUGUGGAUUUCCAAAAUUAUUCCAUAAUCUUGGCAUGUAAAUUAUUUCUAUACUGUGAUGAUCACAUCCCUAAUAUUCAUUGUCCAGUUAGACUUUUAUUCUAAUAGACAAGUCCAUAUAUUAACUACACUUUUCUUUGAAAUAGCCUUAACUAUUAGGUUGUCUGGCCUUAUGGGUGCAGGGAAGGAUUAACAAAUACCAUUU